rnacentral:rRNA from 1 species
UACGGAGGGGGCUAGCGUUGUUCGGAAUUACUGGGCGUAAAGCGCACGUAGGCGGACCAGCAAGUUGGGGGUGAAAUCCCGGGGCUCAAACCCGGAACUGCCUUCAAAACUGCGGGUCUGGAGGUCGAGAGAGGUGAGUGGAAUUCCGAGUGUAGAGGUGAAAUUCGUAGAUAUUCGGAGGAACACCAGUGGCGAAGGCGGCUCACUGGCUCGAUACUGACGCUGAGGUGCGAAAGCGUGGGGAGCAAACAGG